AUGUGGUCCUUUGGGAUGGCUCAAAAGCUCUACUAUGUGUUAAUGCAAGCUCCUCCUAAUGCUUCAUUGAGGGGAUUCUUUCACCAGUUCCUGCUUCUGAGUGUCACUUGCAGCUUCAUGGCCCAUCAAGUGGGAAGAAUUGUGUCAGGGAUAGGAAUUCUUAGGAGCUUGACUGAACAUCUGCCUCCUAAAUACAGGAUGUGAAAAUGCUAAUACCUACUACCAUUUGAAAGUUAUGUAAAUUUUGGACAUAUUGGACCAUGAAGUGAGAUGAUAAUGCUCAUCAAAAAUUCUUGUAAGUGAUGGAGAAAUUUUAAAUGGCUUGUCUCCUGAGCAUAUAAGAGGGUUUUUGUCUUAGAUAGCAGACUCUGGCAGCACUUGAUAAUUUAUUUAUAAAAGGUUCUUAAGUUAAUGAUCUCUUACCUUAUUCUCAGUGAGGUCUUUCCCCUGUGUCUCACUGUGUUCUUUUCACUCCCCUAUAAGACCAUGCCCCGCUCCAUCUCCUUCAGGCAUGGAUUGCAAGUCCAUGACAAAUGUCAAGGCUGCCUCUGAGCCUUAGUCACCCCCCCCAACCCCCCAUUGCUUGUAUCACUUUUGUGGCUUCUUUUUUUUUUUUUUUUUUUUGAAAGCAACAGCCUAAGUAGUAGGAGAUCAUAGCUUGAUAAUUCCCUCCCUUCAGAACUUUCUCAGCAGUGUACUCCAGCUGAUGUAAAUCAGAUCGUCCUUACUGU
rnacentral:lncRNA from 1 species